GUGCUGGGAUUACAGAUAUGAGCCACUGAGCCCAGCCAAGGCCACAGUAUCUUAAUCUCUAGCCAUUUGCUUGAACACCUACAUGAAUGUCAAGCAAUUGGUAAGGUGGUCUCAACCCUAAGCAGAUGGACCAAACCCUGAAAAAUGGAGAAGCAACAAAUAAAAGUGUCAUGCAAUUAUUGACAAUGGAAUAAAUAUACAGAAGACCAAAAGAAAUUCAGAAAUCAUACAGCAUCGAUAUUGCACUCCAGCCUGGGCAACAAGAACGAAACAUCAUCUCAAAAAAACAAAAGUUUACUCUUUUAUCUCAAAAGUUUAUUGUAUGAUAUAAAUCUUCAGCUUUGGCAGAACACCAUUUUAAACACUCAACCAUUCUG
rnacentral:sRNA from 1 species